UUCUGGAAACUCUCUUCAGAGGAUGGUGAAAUCCAAUGACAUCAUCAGUAAAUAUGGAGGUCUGGGUUUCCAACCAAAAUGACUGUGCUCUCCCUGUAAAUUAUUCCGUAAUUAUGUAGGUAGAAGUCUCAGUUAAGUUGCCUUUGCAAGCCUUUUUUCAUGUUCCUUGACUUCUUGAUUUUUCAGCUGUUAGACAGAAAGUUUCAUGUGCUCAAUUUCAGAACUAGUUGAGAAUUGCUGUGGUUUUUUUUUGGUAUCUGAGAAAACUGUAUCUUCGUUGGUUCUGACUUUAACUUAGAAAAGUCAAUUUAUCCAUAGUCUCUCCACCUGCAAGAAAGUGUCAAAUGAAGUUUCCCCAGGAGAAAGGGGUCAUCAGAACUACAUUUCCACAAUUACCACCGACACGGUGUUCUGCGGUAUUUAUUAUCUGUGGAUGUAUUGAGGUUUUAAUCAAAAGACGUCAAUAGAUUUUCUCUAAGAAUU